UCUAGAUGGGUGAUAUUCUGUUCCAUUCACAGUUGUUUUCAUGAUGACAGUAGAGAUUUCUCUGCUGGAGGCCCUCUCUCUAGUAUUGAGUGAAGUCUACUCUUUCCACAGAUGUGUGAGUGGAGUUUCAGAGACUCAAAGAAAUAGUUGUAUCCUGCCCCUGCCCCCAGGCUGGGUCUUUAUGGAAGAGAACAAAGAUAUCCAUCUAGAAACAAGAUCCUUAGAGACAAGAAGCUCCUGGGUUCCUGAAAAUUUGCAAAAGUAGUGGAGAAGAAGCCUUGGAUGUCCACAGGUUGCACAGAUAUAGCAAGGCCUUGUGAGAUCGUAGAAGCCUCCAAUGGCAUAAAUGAAUGAAUGACUUCAACCACUUUGUGCUAACCAUGGUGCACGUGAUGACACACACCAUCUCGUUCGAAACUCAGCGCAGUCCCAGGAGGAAGAUAUCAUCAUUGUGAGCAAAUGGGUACCAGAUUUUGUGCCUGGCACCGGGAAUAAUGUCAGAAAGAAGAGGUGGUCCUUAACUUGCAAGGGGUUCAUAACGAUGGUGGCUGAGGAUCUGUGGGCUGUGCUCACAAAUUGCACAUCAGGCAGUUCUUCCAUCUGGCCGAUCCCAAGUUAAUGUUCAUGUAAUUCAUCAUUUUUAGAAGCUACCUCCCAACAUGUUGGGCCCAGCUCAACCAGUCACAGCUUUUUAUGAGACAUCAUUCAACUGUCUUAGCAUCUCAGAAGGAAGAACUCCACAAUUAUCUUUUAUGGAAAGACUUUGAACACACAUUUUGAAGUUGCAUGCCCAGGACUUUAUGUGCAGAAGAAUCAAGGUAUCGUAUUAACCAAUGUCCUUGGCAAGUCCCUAGGACUAAAUUUCAAGCUACAAGAUGUUUACUGUUCAUCUCAAAGGUCAGCUUUGACCGCAUUUAUUAAAUUGCAAACUUGCUUGUCUUUUGUCAUCAGAAGAUGGUAUGAAUUAAGGCUUUCUUGCUCUGGUCACAGUGCAGAUGAGAGCUGAAAAACAGCUAAAGGAAUUGAAGUGACCGAGAACAUUGAACCAAAAAAACAUAAUAAACACUCAUUGCUCUUGGGAGUCCCCACACUAUUUGAGACAACACAGAAAUGUACUAUUUUUUUAAAUAUAAGGUGGACUAAGUAUCAACCCCUUCCUUAAAAUAAAUAAAGCUGUAAGAAGAUAACCUCCCACACCACUGAGCUUGCCUCCUCCAGUUCCCACCAUCCCGAUCUGUUCUUAUCACUUUUGCAAUCAAACAGUUUCAAUGGGUUUUCACUGCCUUGGUUACCAAGUUCGAAUGCCUUAAAAGAUGUGCAAAGCCUCCAUCUAGCCCCAUCUCCUGCUAUUCUUCAAGCUCCCAUUUUAUCACCAAAUAAAUAAUGAGUUAAUUUUCUAUUACAUGCUAUGUAUCUAGUCACAAACCUAAGCUUUUUGCAAAUACUGCUUCUUUGGCCUGAAAUGACCUCCCCUACUUACCUAAAUAAUGGCAUCACCUUUCAUGAUUUAGCUUAAAUAUUGAAACUCUUGGGAAGGGUGAAUUUCAUGGUAAGUGAAUUAUAUUUUAAUAAACACCUUAUUCAAAUUGACAAAACCUUGAGAACUCUUUUCUAACAAAUUCUCCUCUCUUACCUAACUCUACCACACACAGAUACCUGCAAGCAGAUAUCAACACACACACACACGCGCGCGUGCGCGCACACACGAUACCAGGUUAGAGACCCAUACUUAUAUACCUUAUAUAAUAGCUUAUAUACCAUAGCUUAUAUACCUAUCUAUCUCCUGUAUUUAUGGAGUUACUUGUUUAUUUUCCAUCUAGAUUUGGGGUCUCCAAUAUGGUAGCCAUUAAUGACAUGAGGAUGUUGAGCACUUGAAAUGUGGUUCAAACUGAGAUGUCCUGGAAAGGUAACAAUCACACAGUACAGAGUCUUGUUAUAAAAAGAAAUUGUAAAAUGUCUUAUUCAUAACUGUGUAAUGAUUACAUGUUGAAAUUAAAAUAUUGUGGAUACAUUGGUCAAAUAAAAA